UCGCACUGUUCGUAAUCAGUUGUCAUUACCCAUUGGCAGUUGGUUCCAUUCCGGUGCUAUAGAAAUCCCAUUGAGGAAAAUGCAGCCCCACACCCGUUGGGCUGAUCUUCUUUUUGGGGAACAUC
rfam:Xenopus laevis strain J chromosome 7L, whole genome shotgun sequence.